rnacentral:lncRNA from 1 species
GAGUCGCUAGUCUCCGAUGGGUCUUGCCUGCCGACCACUGCGCUCCCCUCGAUGUCAAAAGGAAACGCAUUGCCGUCCCCUGACGCUGCGUUGGAGCAGACAGCACACCAGAGGAGCCACAGGGCCAGGACUGAGCACCAAGCUGUGCUCCAACCCAUCUCUCUGCAGAUAUUCAACAGGGCCCUUCCUGGAGUGAAGGACCUGGAGGUCUUGGUGGGUACCCCCUAAGAGAUGCAGUGAUGCCUGGUGUUUUGUCUUCUCUGGACCUGCGGUAUUUAGAUCCAGGAGCCCAAGUUGCAACUUUGUUGUAUUAAAGAAGAGGGAGUGAGAGUCAGCGUGGUCUCUUCUCUCUCUCCUGCUUGUCUUUCGCUUCCAUCCACCUCUCUCACUUUGUCUCCGGUCUCCCGCCGCUCCUGAGACUUGGGUUCUGGGACUUACAGAUGGAUGGAGCUAGCGCCCUGUGAACAUCAAAAGGCAGGGGAGCAGACUGGCAUGAGCGAGGCGAGCGCUCCUGGCCACCUCCUCUCCCUGGCGGCUGGGACUGAGGUCGGCGCGGCUCUGGCUUCCUUCCCACACUCAUUCUCACCACUCCCUUUCCACCUUCCCCUUCCAGGCCCUCCCACUUCAAGUUGGCUUUCAGACCCCGAGGUCAGGCCUUUCCUAGACGCCGCCUCCCCCUCCCCCUCCCCCUCGCAGUUUGGAGUCUCUCCAAGGACUCGAAAUGAAUAUUCAGCGUUCCUGAUUGCUUCCCCACAUCCCUUAUUUACGCAGCCAAGGCGCCGGAUGUCUGAUCUAUAUUUAUAUAGAUUUGUAUGUGGCCCCCACUAGUGUACAGGAAAGUGGGUGGAAAAAGGAUUCCAGGGGCGGGAGGGAACCUGAGGUAGAUGACCUCAGGAGCCAGAGGCAUGGUGUCCAUUUCUGGAUGCGUUCUCCUCUCCUUUUCUAGGGAUAGCCUGUGGCUCUUCACUGGCCACUCCUCUUCCUCUGUGGAGUCCUCACCCAGAGGGCUGGAGAGAAUAUCUUUCACUACAGUACUAGAAAAUGACUUCAUUAUUGAAAUGCAUGAACUUUUAUUUACAAAGAACAUCUUGUUUUCCCUAAAGAGGUGCUUUGUGAAGGACCCAGAACAAGGCAUGCAGUGUAUGAGCCUGUCGAAUAUGCGACCCACAGCUCAUAGUAGCCCGACCUCUUCCUCUUGGCCUGCAAUCUCAUGCCUACAACAUUUGUCUGAAUCAUGCAACCUUUCCAAGGCUUCCAUAGAACUCAGGCUGCAGUUACGCUGGGCUGCCCUUGAGCUGACUAGUAUCCACUGCCAGUGAUAGGUGCCUUUAUUUCCAUGGGCUUCAGGUCAGAGCUUUAGGUAUCUCUGGAGGGAAGGCCCCAAAGUGCUUAAAAAUGAUCAGAUGAGCAAGAUAGCCAUAUAAUGACACUCAGGCCAGUUUUAAGGUAUUGGGAAUUAUAAUUACACAGUAAGGCAACUCUGUGAACAUUAUCAUGAGCCCCAUUUCACCGAAUGGGCUGUUGGCUCUAAAGCUAUACACAUAAGCAACUGUUUAUUCUCUACCAUGUGCCAGCCACUUUCCACACAUUUGUAAACACCACAGCAUUCUCGCAUAGUAGGGCUUUUAUUUCCUUGCUGUGGAAGAAGAAUGAGCGAUUCCCCAGGGCCACCCAGCUGAUAGAAAGCUGAAUUGAAGCUUAAAUAUGAGCCUUCUUGGCCUGAAGCUCUGAUUCAAGUUUGUAACACCAAAACUGAUAAGAUAAAGCCUGAGCUGGGACAUAGAGAUAGUGGGGGUGGGGGUGGGGGGUAGGUGGUCUCUUUCACUUUUGGAGUGCUUUCUAUGCACCAACAGUUUGCAUGAGUUAUUUUAUUUAAUUUCAUGCCGAUAGCUAAGUGGUCAUUGUCACAUGCAUUUGGCAAUGGUGGAGUAGUCUGGUAUUAUAGUAAUGAUGCCAAGACACUGGACCUGUGUGCUGGGUGUGGAUUAUCCCAACACCCCUUCCACGUCCCCUGUUAGACCACUUAACUCCUUUCUACACCUGCCAAUAUGUGCAACAGACUUGAGCCGCUCAUGUCCUUAAUUAAUCUGUUGUCAAUAAAGCUCUUUUGGCAAAACAAACAAU